rnacentral:lncRNA from 1 species
AUUUUCUACUCAGAAGCCAAAGGCUGAAAGCUGACUCACUGUUAAUAGAAAGUAUGAAAGCCUGCUAGGAGCAACAUGAUUUCAGGAGCUCAGACUAUCAUGGGAACAUCAAAUGCAUCUGGCAUUGUGAUAAGGCCAUCAGAAAUUAGCAACACCAAAGGCACACCCUGUGUGUCCUUCUAACACAGAUCAUAGCUGAUAUGUAUCUGUCUGCACUGACAUCACCUAGAGCCUCAGCAGCAUACUUUGGAGAUUUGAAGAUGCUCAGAAUCAAGGACAGCUCUGUGCCUUCAUCCAUAACCUGCUGCUGAUCCCAAUCAGUUGGAGGUGCUGGGAUAGAUGGGCUAAGUCAGCCCUCACCAAUAAUGCAGGUUUGAAGGUGAAGCUUAUGGAGAUAGGAAGAAGGCCUGGGGCACGUUUUCCUCUGCCAUCUAUGAAUAUCUACAUUUCCAUCCUCUCCUCGUCUCAUCCAGACUGUCCCAAAGCACUUUUUUUUGUUCAAAUUGGAGUGAAUUCCUUAUAAAGGGCAAAUGGAGAACAGUAGCAGCCUUCUGACCAAGGUGCUGCUGAGUAUUUUCACUGCUGCACACUCACCUUGUCCUCUUCUCAAGUUGGACCAUG